rnacentral:rRNA from 1 species
CUGGCGGCGUGCCUAAUACAUGCAAGUCGAACGGUCUUUCUAUGGAAGCUUGCUUCCACUGAGAAGAUAGUGGCGAACGGGUGAGUAACACGUGGGUAACCCUGCCCAUAAGAGGGGGGAUAACAUCCGGAAACGGGUGCUAAUACCGCAUAGUUUUCUUGAUCGCAUGAUCGGGAAAGGAAAGACGGCCUUUGUGCUGUCGCUUAUGGAUGGACCCGCGGCGUAUUAGUUAGUUGGUGAGGUAACGGCUCACCAAGACGAUGAUACGUAGCCGACCUGAGAGGGUGAUCGGCCACAUUGGGACUGAGACACGGCCCAAACUCCUACGGGAGGCAGCAGUAGGGAAUCUUCCGCAAUGGACGAAAGUCUGACGGAGCAACGCCGCGUGAGUGAAGAAAAGGUUUUCGGAUCGUAAAACUCUGUUGUCAGAGAAGAACAAGUUGGAGAGUAACUGCUCCAGCCUUGACGGUAUCUGACCAGAAAGCCACGGCUAACUACGUGCCAGCAGCGGC